rnacentral:rRNA from 1 species
UACGAAGGGGGGCUAGCGUUGUUCGGAAUUACUGGGCGUAAAGCGCACGUAGGCGGAUAUUUAAGUCAGGGGUGAAAUCCCAGAGCUCAACUCUGGAACUGCCUUUGAUACUGGGUAUCUUGAGUAUGGAAGAGGUGAGUGGAAUUCCGAGUGUAGAGGUGAAAUUCGUAGAUAUUCGGAGGAACACCAGUGGCGAAGGCGGCUCACUGGUCCAUUACUGACGCUGAGGUGCGAAAGCGUGGGGGAGCAAACAGG